rnacentral:lncRNA from 1 species
GGUGACCGACCGGGAAGUUGAUCCCGGGUGCGCAUGAGUAAGGACAAAGUGUGCAGAAAAGACUAGUAUUGAUAUGUGGGGCCAGUCUAGAGCCCGUCAGGAGUAACGAUCGCUGGGAGUUCUGUUCGAAUGGGCUCUCGUAAAAGAAGGAAUUCCUUAUUGAUAUGAGUAGUCUAUAAUCCCUAAGAAGCCAGGCUAUCCC